UGAGAAACGGCUACCACAUCCAAGGAAGGCAGCAGGCGCGCAAAUUACCCACUCCCGGCACGGGGAGGUAGUGACGAAAAAUAACGAUACGGGACUCAUCCGAGGCCCCGUAAUCGGAAUGAGAACAAUUUAAAUCCUUUAACGAGGAUCAAUUGGAGGGCAAGUCUGGUGCCAGCAGCCGCGGUAAUUCCAGCUCCAAUAGCGUAUAUUAAAGUUGUUGCGGUUAAAAAGCUCGUAGUCGAAUCUGUGUCCCGCGCCGCCGGUUCGUCGCUCGCGGCGUUUAACUGGCGUGUCCGCGGGACGUCCUGCCGGUGGGCUUAGCCUUUUCACGAAGGCGGCCCAAUCUUAAUCCCGCCGCGGUGCUCUUCACCGAGUGUCGAGGCGGGCCGGCACGUUUACUUUGAACAAAUUAGAGUGCUUAAAGCAGGCUAAAACUUCGCCUGAAUACUUCGUGCAUGGAAUAAUGGAAUAGGACCUCGGUUCUAUUUUGUUGGUUUUCGGAACCCCGAGGUAAUGAUUAAUAGGAACGGAUGGGGGCAUUCGUAUUGCGACGUUAGAGGUGAAAUUCUUGGAUCGUCGCAAGACGGACAGAAGCGAAAGCAUUUGCCAAAAA
rnacentral:rRNA from 1 species